rnacentral:rRNA from 1 species
UACAGAGGGGGCAAGCGUUGUUCGGAAUUACUGGGCGUAAAGGGCGCGUAGGCGGCCGCCUAAGUCAGACGUGAAAUCCCUCGGCUCAACCGGGGAACUGCGUCUGAUACUGGGUGGCUUGAAUCCGGGAGAGGGAUGCGGAAUUCCAGGUGUAGCGGUGAAAUGCGCAGAUAUCUGGAGGAACACCGGUGGCGAAGGCGGCAUCCUGGACCGGUAUUGACGCUGAGGCGCGAAAGCCAGGGGAGCAAACGGG